GAUGAACGCUGGCGGCGUGCCUAAUACAUGCAAGUAGAACGCUGACGGAGGAGCUUUCUCUGCUGGACGAGCUGCGAACGGGUGAGUAACGCGUAGGUAACCUGCCUGGUAGCGGGGGAUAACUAUUGGAAACGAUAGCUAAUAAUGCCUGACAACAGUUCUUGCCUGAUAACUGUUUCACAGGGGCAACUGCCCCACUACCAGAUGGACCUGCGUUGUAUUAGCUAGUUGGUGAGGUAACGGCUCACCAAGGCGCCGAUACAUAGCCGACCUGAGAGGGUGACCGGCAACACUGGAACUGAGAAACGGCCCAGACUCCUACGGGAGGCAGAAGUGGGGAAUAUUGGAAAAUGGGCGAAAGCCUGACGCAGAACUGCCGCGUGGAUGAGGAAGGUCUUCGGGUUGUAAAGUACUUUGAGAGGGGAGGAAGAGUGUGAGGGUAGAAAGUUCACUCUGUGACGGUAUCUGAAGAGAAAGGGACGGCUAACUACGUG
rnacentral:rRNA from 1 species